GUAGGUGGCAAGCGUGUCCGGAAUUAUUGGGCGUAAAGCGCGCGCAGGCGGUUCGUUUAAGUCUGAUGUGAAAGCCCACGGGCUCAACCGUGGAGGGUCAUUGGAAACUGGAGAACUUGAGUACAGAAGAGGAAAGCGGAAUUCCACGUGUAGCGGUGAAAUGCGUAGAGAUGUGGAGGAACACCAGUGGCGAAGGCGGCUUUCUGGUCUGUAACUGACGCCGAGGCGCGAAAGCGUGGGGAGCAAACAGGAUUAGAUACCCUGGUAGUCCACGCCGUAAACGAUGAGUGCUAAGUGUUAGGGGGUUUCCGCCCCUUAGUGCUGCAGCUAACGCAUUAAGCACUCCGCCUGGGGAGUACGGCCGCAAAGGCUG
rnacentral:rRNA from 1 species